CCUACGGGAGGCUGCAGUGAGGAAUAUUGGUCAAUGGACGAGAGUCUGAACCAGCCAAGUAGCGUGAAGGAUGACUGCCCUAUGGGUUGUAAACUUCUUUUAUAUGGGAAUAAAAUGUUCCACGUGUGGGAUUUUGUAUGUACCAUAUGAAUACGGAUCGGCUAACUCCGUGCCAGCAGCCGCGGUAAUACGGAGGAUCCGAGCGUUAUCCGGAUUUAUUGGGUUUAAAGGGAGCGUAGGUGGAUUGUUAAGUCAGUUGUGAAAGUUUGCGGCUCAACCGUAAAAUUGCAGUUGAAACUGGCAGUCUUGAGUACAGGAGAGGUGGGCGGAAUUCGUGGUGUAGCGGUGAAAUGCUUAGAUAUCACGAAGAACUCCGAUUGCGAAGGCAGUUCACUGGACUGAAACUGACACUGAGGCUCGAAAGUGUGGGUAUCAAACAGGAUUAGAUACCCUGGUAGUC
rnacentral:rRNA from 1 species